rnacentral:lncRNA from 1 species
GAGAAAACAUUCAAAACAAAGACACCAUACAUUGUGUUUCUCAGUUGUUCAUGUUGCAUCAACAUUUGUUGAGGAUUUGUUCAGAAGGAAUCUCAAGCGUAGCUCCGGCAUGGUCCUUAUCCGGCUUCACUUCUGCAAACCAAACCAUUUCAAUCUAACAUCAGUUCUGUUUUUAACAAACAAACACAAAAAAGCAACAUAAUUUGAGAGAUUAUUAGAGUUCAAGUUACCGUAGCCGCCGCGGGAGUUGAGCUUGGCCUGGACGAUCAUGGUGGAGAUGAAGCUGGACGCCUCGCGUGCCUCACCCAGGAGUCUUUGGAUCUCCGCCUCUGACGUCACGCCCCUAUUCUCUUCGAAUUUCUG